rnacentral:rRNA from 1 species
AUAUUCCUGCACCAGCACGGAUAGUUCUAUGAGGAGGGACGGAGGAGGAUAGUCGAGCCACCCAUUGGAUGAGUGGUUUAAGCCGGUAGGCUGAGGGCGUAGGAGGCGAUUGCCACAAACGCGUUCUCGAGGCCGAGAGGUGAUAAGGAGUGCCUUCGGGCGCAAAACUCGAUGAUUCCCGGCUUCCAGGAAAAGCUCCGCAUGGGUCAACUGCUGUGCUGACCGUACCGCAAACCGACACAGGUGGGUGGGAAGAAGAUUCCAAGGCGCUUGGGAGAACUCGGGUUAAGGAACUCGGCCAAUUGACACCGUAACUUCGGGAGAAGGUGUGCCCAUACUGGUGAACCGCGAACGCGGGGAGCCAGCGGGGGUCGCAGAGAAUCGGGGGUAGCGACUGUUUACCAAAAACACAGGACUCUGCUAAGUCGUAAGACGACGUAUAGGGUCUGACGCCUGCCCGGUGCCGGAAGGUUAACAGGAGAUGUCAGGAGUAAUCCAAAGCAUCGAAUCGAAGCCCCGGUAAACGGCGGCCGUAAUGAUAACGGUCCUAAGGUAGCGAAAUUCCUUGGCGGGUAAGUUCCGUCCUGCACGAAUGGCGUAACGACUUCCCCACUGUCUCAACCCGGGACUCAGCGAAAUUGACCUGGGGGUGAAGAUGCCCCCUACCCGCGGAAAGACGGAAAGACCCCGUGAACCUUUACUGCAACUUGACACUGUUUUUCGGGCUGGUCUGUGUAGGAUAGGUGGGAGGCUGUGAACUGGGGUCGCUAGAUUCCAGGGAGCCAACGUUGAAAUACCACCCUGGCGAGUCUGGAAAACUAACCGAGCUCCGUAAGCCGGAGCCGGGACAAUGUCUGGUGGGUAGUUUGACUGGGGCGGUCACCUCCGAAAGAGUAACGGAGGCGCACAAAGGUACCCUCAGGCCGAUUGGAAACCGGCCGUAGAGUGUAAAGGCAUAAGGGUGCUUGACUGCAACACAUACAAGUGGAGCAGGGACGAAAGUCGGUCUUAGUGAUCCGGUGGUUCUGUAUGGAAGGGCCAUCGCUCAACGGAUAAAAGGUACUCCGCGGAUAACAGGCUUAUCACGCCCAAGAGUUCACAUCGACGGCGUGGUUUGGCACCUCGAUGUCGGCUCAUCGCAUCCUGGGGCUGAAGUCGGUCCCAAGGGUUUGGCUGUUCGCCAAUUAAAGCGGUACGCGAGCUGGGUUCAGAACGUCGUGAGACAGUUCGGUCCCUAUCUUCCGUGGGCGCAGGAAUCUUGAGGAGAGCUGUCCCUAGUACGAGAGGACCGGGAUGGACGGACCCCUGGUGUUCCGGUUGUUCUGCCAAGAGCAUCGCCGGGUAGCCAAGUCCGGAACGGAUAACCGCUGAAAGCAUCUAAGCGGGAAGCCAACUCCAAGAUGAGGAUUCCCCGAAGGUCCGUCGUAGACUACGACGUUGAUAGGUCGGAUGUGGAAGCGCUGCAAGGCGCGAAGCUAACCGAUACUAAUAGACCGUUCGGCUUGUCC